rnacentral:rRNA from 1 species
AGGAGAUCUUUUGCGCUUUGCGUUAGCCAGAGCGGCANAUCGUCCGAUUAGUUAGUUGGUGGGGUAAAGCCCUUACCAAGGGCGACGAUCGGUAGCGGGUCUGAGAAGGACGAUCCCCCACACUGGGAGUUGAGACACGGCCCCAGAUUCCUUCCGGGAGGCAGCAGUGGGGAUUCUUUGGACAAUGGGGGCAACCCUGAUCCAGCAAUGCCGCGUGGGGUGAAGAAAGGCCUUCGGGUUGUAAAGCCCUUUCGGCAGGGAAGAAAUCGGCGGGGCGAAUAACCCUGCUGGAUGACGGUACCUGCAGAAGAAGCACCGGCUAACUACGUGCCAGCAGCCGCGGUAAUACGUAGGGUGCGAGCGUUAAUCGGAUUUACUGGGCGUAAAGCGCGCGCAGGCGGCCCGUUAAGACAGGUGUGAAAUCCCUGGGCUCAACCUAGGAAUUGCGCUUGUGACUGGCGGGCUCGAGUACGGUAGAGGGGGGUGGAAUCCUGGUGUAGCAGUGAAAUGCGUAGAGAUCAGGAGGAACACCGAUGGCGAAGGCAGCCCCCUGGGCCUGUACUGACGCUCAUGCACGAAAGCGUGGGGAGCUAAACAGGAUUAGUUACCCUGG